rnacentral:rRNA from 1 species
UACGUAGGGUGCGAGCGUUGUCCGGAUUUAUUGGGCGUAAAGAGCUCGUAGGCGGUUUGUCACGUCGGCCGUGAAAUCUCCACGCUUAACGUGGAGCGUGCGGUCGAUACGGGCAGACUUGAGUUCGGUAGGGGAGACUGGAAUUCCUGGUGUAGCGGUGAAAUGCGCAGAUAUCAGGAGGAACACCGGUGGCGAAGGCGGGUCUCUGGGCCGAUACUGACACUGAGAAGCGAAAGCAUGGGGAGCGAACAGG